rnacentral:lncRNA from 1 species
AAGUGGUUAAGAGCAUUUAUCCAUUCAUCCGAGAUCUUAAGUUUUAUUCUCCUCUUUCAAUAUCACUUCUUAAAAAAAUGGAAUCAAAGAUAUUGGUAAUUUAGGUGAGAUACUGGAGUGAACUAAAUAUGUUUUCUCUGUGGAACAAUAAAGUGUAAUAACUAUUUAUGGAGGCAGUUUUGUUAUGGAAUACUUUAGAGGAAUUCUUUACCAACCGACACAUCUAGUGCUAAUGUGAGAAGGUAAAAUGUCACUUUUUUUUCUUCAAAACAAAACCAAAAGUCAAGUGGGAUUUUAAUUGAUUGUUUUGAAGGUUAAAAGUCAACUAGUAUUCAAUAGGAUUUUUACGUAAUUAAUAGAAGUCAAGCGAUAUUCAAUUAGGAUUUUUAAGUAAUCAAUACAAGUCCAGUGAUAUUCAAUUAAAAUUUUUAAAAGAUAAGAAAAAGUACAGUGAUAUUCAAAACCUUACCAAUUUUGAGGUAUUUCAUUAAAUGGGUUCACCCUCGUAUGCAUGAUUCUAACGUUUGUUCUAUUUUGUUUUUUGUGAAAAGAUGAAAAUCACGGCUCUUCUUCUUCAGAAAGGGAUUGAUUGUUGGGUGUGGCAGUUGUCUAGGCUUCUAUGUCUUCUUGUUCAAGAUAUGACAGAGGAAGAAGAGAGAAGAGCAGCACACCUGUUUGAAAUGAUGUUGAGAUGGAGGUGGAACUUGGCAUUAGGGGAUUAAUUGAGGAUGAUGAUGAUUGUCUAGGCUUCAGAGAAACCCAAAAAUAAAACCACCAAAGAAAACAAAGUAUGUGCUGAGAAAAAUGCCCCAAAACCAAAAGAAUGGGAAUUUACAAGGGCAGGCAAAGAGAUUAUGGACGAUGUUAUCCUGAAAUAUCCACAGUGGAGGUGCACUGCAGUAUGAGUCAAUUGAUCCCAUCUCCAACAUCUAUAAUUAGGUUUUUUCGUUUCUUUUAUAUCCUUUGUAUCUAAACAAACAAAACCAGUAUUAUAUUUGGGAUAUAGGAUAACUAUGUGCAAUUGCAUAGCAAAACAAAAUAUAAUUGCACAAAAGAGAGUCAAACAGCCUAUCCUAUAUAAACAUCGGAGGCAGACUCGUUACUAAUUUGGGUCAUUUUGAGCAUUGUGUUUAUACUGAUUUGUACAUUUUAUCAAUGCUUGUGUUUCAUAGUAGCCCAGCUGGUGAUUCAUUCUUAUAGAAUCCA